rnacentral:rRNA from 1 species
AUAACUAAGCGGAGGAAAAGAAACUAACCAGGAUUCCCUCAGUAACGGCGAGUGAAGCGGGAAGAGCUCACCUUGUGAAUCUGCCAUUCUUGGCCGAAUUGUAGUCUGGAGAGGCGUGACCAGCCGUCGGCGAGGGCGAAGUCUCUUGGAAAAGAGCAUCAUGGAGGGUGACAAUCCCGUCGUUGCCCCCGCGCGGCGCGCGUAUGGUCCGUUUUCGACGAGUCGAGUUGCUUGGGAUUGCAGCUCAAAGUGGGUGGUAAAUUCCAUCUAAAGCUAAACACGCGUGGGAGACCGAUAGCGAACAAGUACCGUGAGGGAAAGAUGCAAAGAACUUUGAAAAGAGAGUUAAAGAGUGCCUGAAAUUGCUGAAAGGGAAGCGAAGGAAAUCAGUGUCUGUCGGUCUUGCUUCUCCGUUCGUCUUCGGGCGUUCGGAUCGCGGUUCCGGCGUGGCCAGGGCCGGGUGUCUUUGCGGGAGCCUGCGCGGGGGGAGGUACGUCUCUUCGGAGAGGGAAUGCCUUCGCGUGUCGUCGCGAGGAUGGCCGGNNCUGACGAAAUGGUUUUCUUCAC